AUUGUGAUAUAAAAUGUUUUUUGUUUCAUUUCAUUUACAUUGGAAAAUAGAGAAACGAUCAUUGUGUUUUGUUAGUUUUAAAAACUUUUGAUAUAUUUGUAUUUUGCAUUAUAAGCAGUCAACCGAUUGACAAACUAGAAUUAUUUGAAUUCCGUGUGGAAAGAGCUCGGGUUAAUUUCGAGUGUUAUCUGCAAUCUAUAUGUUUAUAAAUCAUUUCAGUCGUUGAUAUAAUAAUUAAAGGUCGACUGAACAUGAAUUAUAUUAUACAAUUUAAAGCGCGUUUCUGUUUAUGCACGUGAACCCGUCUAACGUUAUUGUUAUUUCGCAGUUAUGUAAAGUAGCAAAUUAUCGUUCCUGAAUAGGUGGCGCCGUGGUAGCCGAUCCUGUUCCUCAACUUCCGGUUUCUGCACUGUGCAACUAUUUCAGUUACAUUUUUAAUUAACGAUGCCAAGUACUUGUUGUUGUGUACCUGGAUGUCAUUUAAGAGGAGGACAUGCAUUUCCAAAUGACUUAAAAAGAAGGAAAAGUUGGAUCAACGCCAUGGCCCAUACGCAGAUUGGACGAGAACACGAUGAAAUCGUGGAGUCCAUCUCAAUCAGCUGUUGUUUGCAAGGCACAUUUUACUGAAAAAGACUACGUGCAGGAAACUAUUCAUGGGCGCAAACCCACCAUUCAGAGACUUAAGUCUACUGCCAUUCCCAGCCUAUUUUCCUGGACCAAGCAAGAGACUGAAUCGUCCGCAAAAAAGAAAAAUCAGGGCAGUUUCCUGUGAAAACAAAAGAACUAAACUUGAUGAAUAUUGUAGUAGAAAUCUAGAGGAAAGUUUUGAUUGUAAAGUUGGUUUUCCUGAAGAAGUCAUUCAUACUGCAGAAAGGAUUUAUGACUGUCCACCACCAACUGCCGAGCUAAUGUUGAGCUUCACAGAUGGAAUUAUGCAAACACCAUCAAUGCCUAUGUUUUCAGCAGAGAAUUUUAAAGUUUUAAAGUUUCCUACGACUUGGAUUAUUAUUGACAGCACAGAAUAUCCCGUGAUAAAACCUAAAGCUCCUAGAGCUCAGGCAAUCUUUUCAUCAUAUAAAAACAGAAACACUGAAAAUACUUGUAUGUUCGACACCUGGUGGUUUAGUCAACUAUGUCUCUAAUGCAUAUGUUGGUUCUACCAGUGACUAUGAAAUAGUUGAAAGAUGUAGAAUAGUUCAAUUAUGUGAUCCAGGUGACAGUGUGAUGGCAGACAAAGGUUUAAAUGUGCAAGAUUUGUUUGCUAAUUUUUUUCAAAAAAAGAAACAGAAUUAGUUCCAAAACUCUUAUACGGGAUAGAAAAGUCUCCAAUUAACAUGUUCACAUAGAGCGAAUUAUUGGACUUGGCAAAACAUACAAAAUUCUAAUAAAUCCUAUGAAUGGAACUGAAACAAAACUUUCAUCUGAAAUAACAUUUAGUUGUACUAUGUUGUGUAAUUUUAGAACUUGUAUUGUGCCAAAGGAUGCAUAAAUAAAAGUGACGCAAUGAA